AAUCAAGCAAGGUUACCCGCUGAACUU
rnacentral:rRNA from 1 species